CCCUCACCCCGCCCAUCGCUAGGCUCGGGACGAGCCUUACUCCGCCCACGCUGGGGCCUGGGGCUGGGGGCUGAGGGCGGUCAGGUGCGCUCCGCAGCCUCGAUACCCCAAGAUUUCUUUCAAGAGGAUCAAGAGUGUUCAAUUCCCCACCUUUAACACUACCUAUGGAGGCAGCCAGGUGGUGCAGUGGAUAAAACACUGCCCCUGGAAAAAGGAGAACCUGAGUUCCAAAUCAGCCUCAGACACUGAACACGCCUCAAAACAGGGUUGUGGGGAGAGGCAGAAAAAGACUGUGGGCCAUAGAAUGUUAGAACCAGAAAGGUUCUAGAAGCUGGAUCUUCAUGUUACAGAGACAGUACCUUAAGAGCAGAGAAAAAUGGCAUCUCCCUCAUUCACCAAAUGGUUGAGCCAGGAAUAGAAAGGUCAUAUGGUACUGUGGGACCCACUGAAGCUGGGGGGCAUUAUAGGGGCCCUAAGUUUGUGUCCCAGGGACUAUGUGGGCAAAUCCCUUAACUUGAGAGUCUGGCUCUCCUUGAGAGGAGAUGGACACGGUGUGCAGUGUUGUACGUCCAGGAUCCCAUUAACCUUAGAGUCAGGCCCAAUUACUGCGGGUCUUGAGCCAGAAAGCUGGACACAGUGUGCAGUGUUGUAUGUCCAGAAUCCUGUUAACCUUACAGUCAUGCCAUUUUUUCUGUCAGUGUCUGGGGGUCCUGAGCCAGAAAGCUGAAAGGGAGAAGUGCUUUGUAGAUUGUAAAGAGAACUUACCACUUUUGUUUUCAGGUUUUGGACAGUUAUUUAUUUCCUAUAUGAAAAUAGAAAUUCUAAAAUGUACGUGCAGUAAAGUCACACAAAUAUUCGUUGACAAUAAAACUUGAACAAUGUUCAGUAACAAUAUAGAA